rnacentral:tRNA from 1 species
CCUUUUGAGGCUGAAUGGCAAAGCACUUGCCUGGCAUGCAGGAGACCCUGGAACUCAUCCCCAGCACAAGGA